rnacentral:rRNA from 1 species
GACGAACGCUGGCGGCGUGCUUAACACAUGCAAGUCGAACGGUAAGGCCCUUCGGGGUACACGAGUGGCGAACGGGUGAGUAACACGUGGGUGAUCUGCCCUGCACUUCGGGAUAAGCCUGGGAAACUGGGUCUAAUACCGGAUAGGACCCUGGGAUGCAUGUCCUGGGGUGGAAAGCUUUUGCGGGGUGGGAUGGGGCCGCGGCCUAUCAGCUUGUUGGUGGGGUGAUGGCCUACCAAGGCGACGACGGGUAGCCGGCCUGAGAGGGUGACCGGCCACACUGGGACUGAGAUACGGCCCAGACUCCUACGGGAGGCAGCAGUGGGGAAUAUUGCACAAUGGGCGCAAGCCUGAUGCAGCGACGCCGCGUGAGGGAUGACGGCCUUCGGGUUGUAAACCUCUUUCAGCACCGACGAAGCGCAAGUGACGGUAGGUGCAGAAGAAGGACCGGCCAACUACGUGCCAGCAGCCGCCGUAA